rnacentral:rRNA from 1 species
GACGAACGCUGGCGGCGUGCUUAACACAUGCAAGUCGAACGGAAAGGCCCUGCUUUUGUGGGGUGCUCGAGUGGCGAACGGGUGAGUAACACGUGAGUAACCUGCCCUUGACUUUGGGAUAACUUCAGGAAACUGGGGCUAAUACCGGAUAGGAGCUCCUUCUGCAUGGUGGGGGUUGGAAAGUUUCGGCGGUUGGGAUGGACUCGCGGCUUAUCAGCUUGUUGGUGGGGUAGUGGCUUACCAAGGCUUUGACGGGUAGCCGGCCUGAGAGGGUGACCGGCCACAUUGGGACUGAGAUACGGCCCAGACUCCUACGGGAGGCAGCAGUGGGGAAUAUUGCACAAUGGGCGGAAGCCUGAUGCAGCAACGCCGCGUGCGGGAUGACGGCCUUCGGGUUGUAAACCGCUUUCGCCUGUGACGAAGCGUGAGUGACGGUAAUGGGUAAAGAAGCACCGGCUAACUACGUG